CGGAGGAUCCAAGCGUUAUCCGGAAUCAUUGGGUUUAAAGGGUCCGUAGGCGGUUUAAUAAGUCAGUGGUGAAAUCUGGUCGCUCAACGAUCAAACGGCCAUUGAUACUGUUAAACUUGAAUUAUUGUGAAGUAACUAGAAUAUGUAGUGUAGCGGUGAAAUGCUUAGAUAUUACAUGGAAUACCAAUUGCGAAGGCAGGUUACUAACAAUACAUUGACGCUGAUGGACGAAAGCGUGGGGAGCGAACAGGAUU
rnacentral:rRNA from 1 species